rnacentral:ribozyme from 1 species
AUCACAUUCGACAGAAUCCGAAGUCCCAAGGCUCCAAAGGCUCUUCACAGACUCUUUCUACUUAACUUCCAUUCUGUCAUGUCAUCGUCGUCUUGAAGAGUGGUAACUUGGCCCUUCCGGAUAUUCAAGUUUAGCUACACGUGCUAGUUCUAACGCCUUGGAAGAAUACGAAAGCAUGGCUAAACAGGAUUUA